rnacentral:lncRNA from 1 species
UUCUGUUUUACCUAAGAGGUAAAGAAAGAGGGAGUGAGCUUAUGACAACCCAAUGUGAGUCUAAUUUUUAAACCAUUAUAUAUAUAAUUGUUCAAGUAGUAAAGCAUUCAAUUUAUAACAUCAUAGCAAAUUAAGCAUAAUGUAAGGAACAUUCAAUAAAUCAAUGCAUCUACAGGUUAUGUUCAUGAUGCAAUGCAAUUUUAGUUUUAAGUUCCCACCAAUCCAUCUUAUUUGCCCUGGAGCACCAUUCAACACU